UGGAAACCUGAAACCACUAUGUGAAGGAAUCCAAGCUAGCUUGCUAUAGGAGGAGAUGACCAGUGGAAGAGACGAAGGCAUCCCAACUGACAGCCAGCCAGAGCGUAGCUGGCCUGCCCACUGUCCACAUGAUUAAACUACUUAAGGAUAUAUGCUAAACCUCAUACCAAGCAGAACUAUCCAGCUAAGCCCAGUCCAAACUGCAGAAGAACCUCCAGCUAACUAAACCCAGCCCAAACUACAGAAGAACAUCCAGCUAAGCCCAGUCCAAACUGCAGAAGAACAUCCAGCUAAGCCAGCCCAAACUACAGAAGAACAUCCAGCUAAGCCCAGCCCAAACUGCAGAAGAACAUCCAGCUAAGCCCAGCCUAAACUGCAGAAGAACAUCCAGCUAAGCCCAGCCCAAACUG